AGACCUUCUCUCAACAAUUUCUGGAAAAGAACCAUAAUGAACUAUUAUUCACCGUUGACCUGAAACUUCACCAAUAUAACAUCAUACAUUUAUACUUCAGUAGUGACCAUUCUGAGCAUCUU
rnacentral:ribozyme from 16 species